GGCCUGAUGGUCUAGUAGUAUGAUUCCUUGUUAGGGUCGAGGAGGUCCCGGGUCCAAUUCCCGGUCAGGCCC
rnacentral:tRNA from 1 species